rnacentral:rRNA from 1 species
AUGGGCAUAUGUCCUGGUGCCAUCGACAUAAUCAUCACCAACUGCAGCCCGACCCCGAGCUUGGCAGACAUGGUUGUGAACAAGUAUAAACUCAGAGCGGACAUCCGUAGCGUGCACAUAUCGGGGAUGGGGUGCAACACGGGGGUGAUCUCCCUGGAGGUCGCGAGGAACCUCCUGCAGGCGGCGCCGCGGGGCGCGCGCGCCCUGAUGGUGUCCACUGAGACCACCUCUCUCCUCAACUAUACCGGCAAGAACCGGGAGAUGCUGCUGCCAUCCGCACUGUUCCGCAUGGCGCGGCCGCGGUGCUGCUGUCAACGUCCAGACAGAGCUUACCUGUGCUUGUCCAUGAAAGAGGACGACGAGGGAGAAACAGGAGCAUACCUGUCCAAGGACCUUGUGGCAGUCGCCGGCGAAGCACUCACGGCUAACAUCACGGCAAUAGGGCCCCUCGUCCUCCCGCCCUCGGAGAAGCUGCUGUUUGCGAUCUCGUUCAUUGCACGGAAGGUGCUGAGGAAAAAGAUCAAGCUAUAUGUCUCUGAUUUCCGCACGGCCUUCCAGCACUUCUGCGUCCAUUCUGGUGGCCGGGCAGUGAUCGACGCGGUGCAAACUAGCUUCAGUUCAUUGUGGUACGAGCUUGCAUACAUGGAGGCCAAGAGGCGGACGCGCAAGGGCGAUCGGGUAUGGAUGGUCGGGUUUGGUUUGGUUCUGGUUUCAAGUGCAACAGCGUCGUUUGGCAGUGCAUCAGGUCUCCCGGCAACACAACUGUUGGUGCGCCAUGGGCUGAUUCUAUUCAUCUGUAUCCUCUGGACAUCUCGGAAGUAG